UACAGAGGGUGCGAGCGUUGUUCGGAAUUACUGGGCGUAAAGCGCGCGCAGGCGGCCUUUUAAGUCUUGUGGUGAAAUGCCGGGGCUCAACCCCGUGCCCGCCGGAGAUACUGGGAGGCUGGAGACGAGUAGAGGCAAGCGGAAUUCCGGGUGUAGCGGUGGAAUGCGUAGAGAUCCGGAAGAACACCGGGGGCGAAGGCGGCUUGCUGGGCUCGGUCUGACGCUGAGGCGCGAAAGCGUGGGGAGCGAACAGG
rnacentral:rRNA from 1 species